GCCAGCAUGAUGUAGUGGUUUGAAUGUUGGGCUACAAAUCUGAAGAUCAGGGUUCAAUUCCCUACUCAGCCA